CCAGGCGGGAGAGCGUGGGGCGGGCGGAGACUUCUGCGCGUGCGCCGAAGCCCCUCGGCCAAUGAGCGGCUAAGGAGGAAGCGGCCUCCGGCCAGUCAGAAGCCUCCGGGACGAGCCGCUGACGUCGCGACGUAAGAAUGCGUGGCGUGCGGGCAGGCGGCGGCGCGGAUGCCGAUUGGUCGAGGACGGGCGCACCGGGGACCGUUGAGCCCAGUUAGCGGGAUGGGUGGGGCUCGGGCUGCGCGUGCGCGUUGGGCCUUCUCGGCGCGUGCCUGGCGCGGGCAGUGCCGGACUUUAGUUGCUUCCCGCCUCGGCGCAACGGCCCCUUCCUGUCAGCGCCCGCGGAGCGCUGCUCGUACAGCACUCCGGCAGCCCGGAUAUCAGCCCGUCCCCCUUGAGCCCUGGGGCAAAGGAGCGAAGGCGGGGCUCGUACCCCAGGGAGACGCACCUCACCGGGUGCCGGUGCGGGGGCUCAGCUCUGAGCGGUGCAGCAGGAGCGCUCCAGGAGCGUUGGGUCGGGGCUCUGUGUAAGGCUGUGUGAGCAUGUCGGGAGUCACACAGCGACAGGCAGCGUGGCUGGCAUGACUGGGCAGUGAGCUUCUCACAGGAGGUGUGAGCGCUGCCGGCCUGUGAGCUGGGAAUUAUCCCUCACAUGAGUGCAGAUUUAUUUAAUAACACAGAAAUAAGCGUCUUUAUGUCCUAGUACCGCUUUUUUUUUUUUUUUUUUUUUUGUUACAUACGUACAUGUUAACAUACAAAUUAAAGUGUUUCUAAACUGUGAAGAACGUGUGCUAGUCUCUUUAGUUUGUGCCCCUGUGAAAGUAGUUACUUGGUGUUUACCAUCCGUAGUUCUCAGCUCGUCAGAAAAGCAGAGGAGGUGUCACUGCCGUGCUGCAGAAAGACUCAAGUGCCCUCUGCCUUGCCCUCCGUACUGCUCUGUAGCUGUCACUGUGCCACUGCAGUGGAGUGCUGGAGCUUGAGAGCUUUGUUAGGAUCCUCUCUGUGCCUGUUGUGCUGUGAUGUCCCCCAAUUUCUCUGUUGCCAUCGCGUUUGUGCACUCUGGGAUUUGAUCCGAAGCCCUGAAAAGGAAGAACUACAGGCACAGCUUGUUCACCCAGUGACACUGAGAGUGCUGCGUGAUCAGCUUUCUGUUUUACCAUAGGCACGAUUGCAUCAGUGGAGAACAAAUUCCGCAGCGAAGUCUCGUUCUCUGUGUCCAUAGGGGCGCCUGGCCUCUCACAUUGCCCUCCUCAGCUGGUAGGAAAUUGCUACAGGACAGUUAAUCCCAGGUGCCACGAGAACGACACCUCAGUGAUGUCCCUGGAUCAGCCUGAAGCUUCCUGUACAAUGAUUACUAUACCUUUAGGAAACGUGAGGAAUUUUGUUCAGAGAGCUCGGAAGCAUUUUUUGCAGCCCUCAACUGGAGCAAGCAACAUUACUCUCAUUAUUCAUACCACAGAACUGAGGUACUGAAAGGUGAGAUGAUUUCCCCAGAUUCACACAGCAGACGUGGCACGUUCAUUCCUAUUCAAGCCAUUACUUAUCUGCCUAGAAUGUGAAGGCUUUUCAGUGGGACUCAAACCUAUGCAUCUUCAUGAGGACUAGGAGGCUGCUGUAUGGAGGCUGUUCCUGCUUAAUGCAGCUCUGGUAUACAACAGCACAGGGCUGGGCCUCGAUGCCCUUAACACUUCGUCUGGGCAGCAUCCCAAGGCAGGAGGACAGUGUUUUCUCAGCCCAUGCUCACCACAGCUGUGAAGACCUCUCACUUAAACCACUUCCAUUCCUCGAAGAAGACACGAAGCCCAAAGGGCUGUGUCUCUUAUCUGUCUCUUAGCAUGCAAACCAGAAGUGAGGAGCGAUCGCAGCAUGGCUAUUUCUUCGGCUGUGAGCUCUGUGCCCUGGAGGUGGCGGCAGUCCCCUUCGUUGUGUACUGCUGCACACCGUGUGCUGAACACUAUGCACUGCAUGCUGUAUGUGCACUGUAUGCCACAGAAAACGUUUACAUGCCUGUCUACCAUGCAUUUUAGCUCUGAGCAUCCCCAGAUUUUAAAAGGUGAGUCCCACUGAAGACCCAGAAAUUUGUUCUUGAAAGCAGGACUUCAGUAUCUGGAUCGUGCAAAAACUCAGUUGUGUUACAGCUGGUAUAGGUAACUGACAAAACAACAAUUACCUGUUCUAAACUAUAGCUUACAAGUACAAGAAAGAGGAUAGAUGCAGCCAUACAAACACAUACCAUUUAUGACACAUACGAUAAGAAGAAAAGUUCUCACCAUAUAAUGAGCAGUAGGUUAGAGAUCAUGCCAAAGGCUCUUAAUCGUAUUAUUUUACCUAACCUGAGUUAUUUGCUUAUAUAUGGCACAAUACAAGAAGGGACAUACACCACUGGGCACAUUGGUCAUGCUUCCUCUGCCUGUGCUGCAUGGCAUUACAGGUUGCAUUCUGCACUUGAAUGCACUCUACUCAGAUCAGCUUUCUUUUUCAAUACUGGCCUCAAACAUAGUGAAGGGAAGAAUUUAUUUACCCUCUAUCUCUAGUGAUUGAUAGACAAAGCACUAUUCAUUAGGUCAUCAAAUACUGCUUCUUAUUUUCAUGCUGUACUUGCUAUAACCCACUUUCUCCUCUCCAUCUUUCAUAGAAGCAUACAUGCUUGUGCAUACUUGUGCUUUUGUUUAACUUUGUUUUGAUUGUCAAUCUUUUAGAUUUAAGCCUUGUUUUGACCAGUGGUUUUUAACCGCGUUGGCAAUAGUAGGACUGAUGGCCCCAGGGGCACAAGCUUAACAGAUAUGCUGAACCAAUCCAAUAAUUCUUAGUUGCCAAGAGUAUUGGUCCUGCUUCCUUUCCAGAUGUGCACCCUGCAGCUCGUCUGCUCCAGAUCUUGUGCUUACUGACCUGCUGGGAGCUGACUCAGCCCACGCUGUGCACAAAGAGCAAAGUGAAUAUUUUUGACCACAUGAGCAACCUGCAAGUGGCUCAGAGAGGUGCCAGUGGAGUCAAAUGAUGAGACCCUAAGCCAGCUUUGGAAACUAACUGAUGCUGGUCCCUCAGGUGUCUAAUUCCUGUAUUCUGGAAGCCAAUACUUCAAACUCUUCCUGCUGCUGAGGCAGUUCCAGGACACAGCCUUAGAGAGCAGCACCUCAUUGGCAUGAAGUGUGGAUGAGGGCAGGGGUUGGAGCCUUACCAUGGUGAUGCUUUAGGAAGCACUUUUUCCCAUAGUAGAGGGUAAGUGACAAGCCCUGAUUUGGCUGAAGCAUGCUGUCAAUGAUCUGUGCCUGAUCCUGCAUGCACAGUUGGUGCCUGCUGACCUGGAGAGCAGUGGUGGUGUGGCGGAGCUUCUUGGUGUCCAUUCCUUUCCAAAUCCUUGCAGUUUUAAGUAACCAGGUCACAGACUUCUGAUUCCAGCACCAGGAGACAUAGGAGACAUGUCUUUCCCCAGACUAAUUUCUUUGGGGCUGAUGCACCAGCUCUUACUAAUUUAUACAUCAACUUACUUAUCAAUCAAGAACAUUCAUUCUAGGUUCAAGAUAGUCUUUCAUUACAGCACAGUCAUUUUUAGCCUGUCUAUCUGAAGGAAAUGCAGUUUAUUACCAGGUUCUCCUUCUUUUUGUCCCUUUUCCCCAGUAACUUUGCUCCAUGGCUGAUUUCAAGUACUGUAACACGCCAUAUGAAAUCUGGCAAGGAGGCAGAACAGAGAGCCUGACUUGUGAAUCCCCUUGCUCUGAUGCUGCAGACAUUUAUUUCCCCACUUGCAAAAGCUGUUUUCCAAUUCUCCUGUUGCAGUUACAAAAACAUUGGUGCUGCAGCCAGACGGAAUGUUACAGCUAUGCACAGCCUGACUUCUACAACCCCUUAAGGUAUUUCAGUCCUUUCAUCUGUUCACUGAAAGUAAUGUGGGUGAUUUAUUACUUAUGCCCCCUUCAAACUCAUUAUUACCUCCAAGUGCCUGGUUAUCCCUCGGUUCGAUCUCAAAUGAGAGCUUGUAAUGAGGAGCCUUCACUGAUUUGUUAUGAGAACAUGUAACACACAAUUAGAAAGCAACUUGGGCAUAAACUAUUACAUUUACGGGCAAGAAGUCUUUGCUUUGAUUUUUGACCAUUGCUCAGUUUAAGGAAAAGGGACACUGUGCUUCAGAGAGAGUAAAUGAUCUGCUAAGGGCUUGUGCUGUUAAUCACUGCCUCUGUGAAUGCCUUCACCUUUUGGGCAAGUGAGAACCAAACCAAGUCAGGAUCAAGGGCGUCAGCAUUUUCAGUAUGGGAGAUGGCUUCUAGCUUUGGGAAAAAAAUGUGAUUGUGACUACUUCCCAGGGCUGACCUGGGCUAGAAGUGGUAGGGAGGGGUUCCAUACUCAGAUUUUCUCCUGUGAGUGCAGCCCAUGGAUGUGAGAUUACACCUAAAGCAGCCAGAAAGCUAUCUGCUGGGUUCUAAAGGGCUGGGAAAACCUCUGGAGUGCGUGUAUGUAAGGCUGCUAGGGAAAAAGUGAGUUGUGAUGCUCAGUGCUGUCUGAACCCUGAGAGUGGCAGGGCUGUGCAUAGUGUGAGGAUGUACCAAGAGAAAAGGGUGGGAUCAAGUUCCAUUCUUGAAAUAUCAGCUGCUCACUGCAAGGAUCAGGAAGGUCUGUUUUGUUCUAUGAGGUGAUUUGAAAGAUUAUACAGAUAUUGAGAUAUGGAUUUUUUUUGCCAACCUUUGAAGCUAGGUAUUGGCUGGGAAGGAGUGAUGGUCCAAGGUGCUGCAGUAAAUCAUAGGUUCUUGUAAGUAAGGUCACAGUAGCUGCUGGAUAUAAUUUCUGCUAACAAGAGCAGACUCUGGUGCUAGUAUUUCAGUAUCAUUGCUCCUGAAUGAGAUUCAAUAGCUGGAGAUAUGCAGUAUCAUACACAAAGAACACCAGGUGAGGAGGUGAUACAAUGUACUCGAUUAGUCAGAGGAUUAGUAAUUCUACUAGAAAUAUACAUGAUGUUGCAAUAAGGAUCUCACUUCAAAAAAUAUGCUCUGUUAACUCAUUUCUGCAAUUCAUAUUCCCUGUUCAGCACAAAUGCUAUUACAAUGCAGUGCAAUGUUUCACCCUUCCAUGUGGAUGGCACUUUUUACAUGCACACUGGCCACUUUAAAGAAUUCCACUACCAAUAUCUGUGUAUUGCUUCUGUAUGUUAUUUUGAGCAUGCUUUGUUCUUCCCUUUCCAUCAGAACACACUGCAUGUCCAAAACACCAUUUGCAGUCAAUGAGGGUUACAAAGACUUUACAAAUCAGAGUCAAGUCAAAUCACUAAUUUUCAAGUGAUUUUCUGUUCUUACAGGGAUACUUGCAUGAAGUGUGUACUGAAGAGAUAAUACAUAUGGAUAAAACUUUAAACAUGAAAACCUUUCCUUUAUGUGUUUAUGUGUUCACAGUGAACUUGAGUCAUUGGAGUUUCAUCCUGCCUCAGAUGGGAAAAGCAUCCCCAGCUGUCAUUGCACUGGAGCAGUAAAAUGAUUCCCGGAGUAAAGGGAAACACGGGGAAGCGAUCCUGUUUGGAGCCAGGAUGCUUAGUGUGGCAUAUCUACAUGGAAGCUGCAGGAGGACAUCAGUCUUUGCAUUAACAUUAACUACCGUGGAUAAGAGAAUAUAUUAGCAACAGCUUCACUAAAGGUCAGGACACAGAGAAGGAAAAUCAAGAAGCAUUAUACAGACAUAAUUUUAAGCAUAUCUGUAGAAAGAAGCUCUAGCUGUACCAUGGAUGUGUCAAAGGCAGAGGCUGAAAUUCCAAGCUACGUGGCACAGACCAUGUAGAGGAAAAAGGGAAUCCAGACUUAUUCCUUGAAUCUGCAUCAUAUUACCUAAGUCACUCAGUGCUGCUUCCAAACUUUCUCUUUUUUAUGUGUAAAAUCUUUGGCGUGUGUUAGAAAUGCAUGUGGAAUAGCUUAGAAAGGACUGAAGUGAUGGCGCAAGGAUUGAAUGUACUUAAGGCACAGACCAAAAUUACGGUUCCAGAAUAAGCCUGUGGUUUUUAAGAGACACAUAACUGCCACAGUAAUUAUUUAAUGGGGCUAAAACUUUCCAGGUUUGGAGUCGGUCCAGCUGUGAUAUAUUUCCAGAAGACAGGAGGAGAAGGAGCAGUGCAAGACUCAGCCCUAAACUGAAGCAGAAGAAUUGUACAUCAACUGUGUGCUCACUGAAGCACAGGAGCAGCUGAGCAAAAAAGAGCCGCUCUCUGCAGAACAUGAUUGAAGGCUGGAUAUGAUGACAAUAGUCUUUGGGAGCUAUUUUAAAAAUGAUCCCCAGAAACAAAAUAAAUGUAUAUGUUUUUUAAAAUGAAAUAUUACAAGGAAUUGUUGGAAACCAAAAGAAGUGAUGCUAAGCUUUAACUUGAGCGAGGGCUUUCCUCUAGUUUCUUCCUGCUCUACAGAGUGGCUCCCUCCCUAAGACCCCUCUGAUCCAGGAGGAUUGUACGUGCAGCACUGAACUGUCCUAACAUCUCUGUGUCAUCAUCUAUCCCAGACCUUGAUGCCAGUGUGGACAGAGACAUGGAUGAAGGAGAAAGGGCGUUGCUGGAAAGCCAUACUUCUGGGUUCUUGGAAUGGCUGCAAGAAAGAUGUGCCCAAGGAGAGACUGAGUCACUGUGGAGACAGCUGCUCUGCUUCAUUUCUGCAUGAAAGGGAAAUGUUUUAAAUCUCACUCCCUUGAUGGGUCCAGAACAGUAACAGCCUGGGCAGGAAGAGGGUAGAUCAAGCUUUGGGCUACACUCAACACACAAGUUUUUCCUACUUGCUGCCAUGCAGCCCAAAUAGCAGCCUGAGAGAAGAACCACUCUGAGAUCCUAGCAGGGAUGAAACCAGCAUGCUGCUACAGAAAUUAGUCUUUAAAAUCCUUCAAAUUUUAAUAAAGGUCAGUAUCUUCUUCUACAACAUGCUAAAAUUUGUCCUGUGUGACUCAAUGUAGGCUUUUAACUCCACAAUGCAAUAGCUUUUCCACUAAAGACUGAAGUCAAGAGUCAAUGGAUCAUUGCUCUCCAGUCAGGGUUUGAAUGGGUAGACGGAAGAGGAUUAUUUGCCUUUUCCUGCAGCAUGACUUGUGGGACUCCAUCUGGCCUAUCAUUUUGGAUUUCUGGCACAGGCAACCCAAAUUUGACCAUCUUACACGCAAUUGAGAGCAAAAGAUCAGACCCUUAGCUCAAUGAGUCAUUUGGCCUUAUGAAACCCAAAAAGCACAGACAACAUGGAGCCAUCCUGGGACUGGCUCUGUACCUGGAAAGUUGCAAGGCCAAGAACACUUCAUUGUUGGAUGAUAUUUUUAAGACUCACUUAAAGCCAGAAGUGCAGAGCAACCCCUUCAGAGCUCCAGCCUAACAACUGCAGCACAGUUCAUUAACGGGAUCAUGUCAAAACGUGCUUUGCCCUAUACUUCCCUCCUCAGACAGAACUGUUGAGCUACCAGCCUUAAACAAACACACUGAUUGCAAGGAGAAAGAGGAAAGGGAAGAGAGAAGAGGAAUAAUAUUUUUAGAUGACAGGACAAAAUAACCAAUUGUAAUCUCCAUUUAAAAAAAAGAAUCACCCAUUCAUUGUCAGGAAUGAAUAUGAUCAAACUCAACCUCCACAGAGUAAUUGUUGCUGAUGGCGAUUAUGCAAAUGCCAUUCUUAACAAAUGCCUGACGGUGUACAUUUACAUUUCUUUCAGUGAGGUGGAUAUGAUUACGCUGAAGAGUCUUCUUGUCCAAAGAAGAAAUCUCUGGAUUGACAAUCCAUUCCUCCUGCACACUCACAGGCACGGGCAGGUAACAGCAGCAGUUGUAGGGGAAAAAGGCUGGGCACAUCUGUGUUAUUUUUAUUAACAUACACAUUAUAUGUGAUGCUUCACUUUUGUUAUUGAUAAACAGACUGGAAAAAAAAAUGUUAUCUUUCAUAGUUUAGAUCCAAGCCCCUCUUCCAGUAAGCACAUUAAGAUCUUUCAACAGUCAGAAGUUAGAAAAAACUAUUAAUGCUGUCUGCACAAGAAAGACAGUCCCAUGAAUCAGGUGGAGAACGCUGAGAUGGUCUGAAAAGUUCAAGCAUUGUACUCUCCAUUGGGACAGCAGAUAUAAAUCCAGAUUUGCAAGACUACUUGUUAAAACUGUAAAAGACCCAGGGCCAAACUGCCUCAUAGGAUGCAGCAUGAUCCAGACCUACAGCAAAACCUCAUACCGAGUAAGCAUGGUAUACAGCUUAUGAAGACUGAGGACAUUUAAAAGGAUGACUGUUCAUGUGAAAAGGAUGACUGCUCAUGCGAAGUGAAGCCACAAUCAGAUUUACUUACCUCCAAACGUGCCUCACAAUGACUGAGGCUCGGCUCUGUCAAGUGCUCUGACUGGUUAACAAGAAACAAAAUAAUCUGGAACAGAACGGAUGAGACUUGAUGUUGAUGCACCAACCUGAGCUAAAUCCUGCUGCUGGCUGAGCAGAACGCUGCUGCAAGGGAUGGCAGAAAACGGUUGUAGGAGAACUUGACUUCCUAAGCUCAUCUGACACAGGACAUGACAAUCCGAUAACGGGCAGGGACUGGAAAAAUCCACUCUCUGUAAAUAUGCUACACAUAGAAGAAGUUUUAGCAUGCCUUAUUCCUUUUAACCAUUUGCAGCUCACGAUCUCAAGAUAAAGGGGCAAUUUACCGAAGGGCUCCAUUGGUGAAAUUUUGUGGCAUUUCACUUGAGCCCUCAGCUUGACAGAAACAACGUUUCCCUAAUGAAAACCCCAUACCAAAGGCUGGCUCAAACCCACCCAACGGAUUUAUGUGACUGAUCUCACAACAUUUUUAUUUAAUCAAAUACAAUCCAUGCAUGUGUUCUGCAUUUCUAAAAAAUGGAAGAUUUUCCCAAGUACAUCUUUUUCCAUGUCACUAACUUGUAAUAAUGUGGAAGCCCCAAACUGACACUUAAAUGACAGCAUUAACUCUUCAGUUACUGCUGACUGGAAUGGGAAGGACCAUUAGAGAGAUCUCUGUAGAUAGCUGGUGGAGAGCAUUGCUGUGGGGAAGGAAAGGAAGAAGGAAGGGCAGAGGAGAUGUUCUAGGACAGGGAGGAGGGAGAAAGAUGGAGAUAAGAAUAAGGGGAAUAGAGAAAAAUGAAAUGGUAGGGUGUGUAUAUUUUCUAACAGUAAUAUUGAAUAUGAGAAAUAAAUGGGUACAAGAACUAAAUAACGUUAUCUGCAAUUGUUCUAUUUCUGAUCAUUGUGCUAACCUCCCACUGAUAUGGCUGAGAUACUUCCUCUGAGCUGAGUGCACAUUAUUUGUACUUCAACUCACAGAUUGGCAUCAGAGCACGAGUUGGGCCUUUCAUGCAGAAUAAAUCUGACAUUCUUCCUUUCAAUCUCUGUUUAGCAUUUGAGGAAAAAAACCAAACUUUUUCAUAAAUAUGAACAGGAUGUGCCAAAAUGAAUCUGCCCUCAGAAUGGCAUUUUAGUGGGGCUGCACUGCUGCAACUCAAAGCAAAAUUUGGCCUUCGACUCUAAUUGCUCCCAACUCUAGAAGUACUGAAUUGAUUUUAUUCAGACAUGAACUGUUUUCUCCUUCAUCACCGAGGUCUAUAAAACAAGCCGAGUUCAAAUUUCCUAGCGUCAGCUCUUCUUGAGUUAUAAGGGCAGAGAAGCUGCAACCGGAACAAAUAGGAAUAGCUGGUUUCUCUUCACGCCCACAUAUCAUAAAAACAGCUAAGCUGAUUUUGCUGAGAGUUCUCAAAAAUAUUCACCUUUAGGCUGGAGUUAAGCCUGAGAAGUACCUUGCCCCACCUGAGGAAUGUGCUUUGGGAAAUUUGGAGCAGCUGAAAAAUGGAGGGGAGCCUGGAAACAGAAAGUGAGCUGAAUCUAUAGUAGUGGUUUAUUUUCACAGGACUAAUAAACAAUUCUCAAUUCUUGGCCAUAAAUUAGCUUUGUAAGGAUGCAACAUGUUCCUGAGUGGGCCUGUGGCUUUCUUCUUUCCUAGAAGAGACAUUUUUGGUCUGAGAUCAGAUAUUCAUAGGCUGUUUGGGGUGAUUAUAAUCUGUUCCAUAUGUCUGGCAGACAGAACUCUGCCACGAUGACCACUGGGAACAUCUGCACGGCUUUACCCAGCUCCUCACUCCCCGCCACCUUCAGCAGAGCUCUCUUUCAGGUUCGGCCUCACAGCCAGAACCACAUGAGCUGCUGCAAAGCCUGUCCUGUGGUUUUAUCAUCACCCAGUGCAAUGAUGGCUUUUACAUCAAGACACAUCUUGAUCCCAUCACUCUGUCAGGCACUGCAGGGACACUGCAGUUGUCGUGACUUGUUAACCCAUUCAUUUUUCAAGAAACAUUUGAGCCCACACUCAUCUUCUGCAACUUUGGAAAGAGCAAAACAGAUUUAUUAAAAUUUGAGUCUGUGGAAGCAAAAGCCCCAGGUCUGUCUGCUCAUAAUGGAGGACGCUACUUCAAAUAGGAAUUUAAGCUUGGUGCCUAAAAACUGACCUCCUUUGUUGCACAUGAUGCACAGAAUAGCAGCAAAGGCUGUUUUAGUUCUAGAUGUCCCUGUUUGGCUCAAAAAUAUUCGCACUUAAAAAUGUUCUGAGCAUCGCUGCACGCACAUCCUUAGCCAAAGGCACUGAUUACAGAACACCAUGUAUGUUACCCUGCUUCAUGUGUCACUCCCAGGACAGGGAGUCUCCAGCAGAGCGUGCAGCCACUGAAGAUAUCACAUGGGGCCACCACGUGAAAACAUGUCAUUACUCAGUUGUCAUGCUGUCAAACGCUGCAAGCACUCACUGCUCUAGUGAGCCAUGAAUGACUCUGUUUGCUCCUGAUCAAGCUCUUCUGGCAGACACAGGAAUACUGAGGCAGAAGUGCCCAUACCAAAAGAUGCCGAGGUGCUGCAGGCUGGUUUGGGGGCAAUCGAGGGCAAGUACUGUGGGCAGAAGACAGCAUUUCCUCAAGGACCCAUGUAUGUGCUCUGCUGUUUUGGCUUCAAGCUGCUGAGACAAAAAGCUGGCACAGUCCCCUGAUGCUACAAGGAAUCCCCAUUGAGUUCAUCCCCACACUAACACUCAUAAUGAGUUGCAGGGGAGCAGGACCUGUCCUACGAGGCACUUGCGAUGCACUGACAUUACAGAGAUUACAGAAGCAGAGCUGAGAGCAGAUUCUGACACAUGCUCUUCUGUCUGAUUUCAGAAGUUAACUGCAAUAAUGAAGCAUCCUGUUUGGAAAUGAGUUACAGGGUAUGCAUAUUUAUGGGGCUGUGCUACCCCAGGUGCACACAUACAACUCCCAUUUAGCUGAUGUAGGAAUGCUGAGAGGCAGAGAGACAAAUUAGGAGGAUGUUUACCACUCAGCAAAAAUACAGCAUUCUUAUUUAAAAAUAAUAUGAUGAUGCUAUUUCUAAAACAUCUGCAACACAGGGUUUUGCUGUCCUUCACACCAAAUGAGUUACAUUCAGGUGACGGGCGACCCUGUGCUUCUCCCUCGCUUCCCUCUGAGAGUGGGGUUUAGUACAGACUCAGUUGGCUGGGGUCUGCACGUGGAGCAGCUCUCAGCAGACCUGGGGGUGCUCCUGCCGCUCGCAGUGCGAAACACAGCGCAGAAAUGAAUGAUGCCUGUGGUGUAGGGAGCACUGAUGCAUCACUUGGGGCUAAUUUGUUUUAUGGAUCCAUUUCCCAAACACAUAGUUAAUGAGUCCACGAUCUAUAAACUACAAACCUCAAGCAUGCUCCAAGUGACUGUGAUGAGGUAGAACAUCACGUGGUAGCUUCUUUCUUCAUAAGGCAGCACAGAGUGGCAUGUGAAGGAACAGGUGGGAUCUGACAUCAGGACAAGAGACUUGAAAAGAAGCACACCCAAGCCCAUAUGCCAGCCAGACUGCCUUGCUAGCCCCUGCCUUCCCAGGAGCCACUGAAUAAGCCUCCAGCAGAUUCUGAGCAGAUAUUUGGAGGAGAGAAGCAGGCAGUUUGCAGCUCCCUGCAGAUGCCAUUACACAUGGCAGAGCAGCAGCACACAGGAGGGCAGAGCAGCCUGGCAAAGCCACCCCUGUGUCCCUUGUGCUAUUUCUGUUCUGCUGAAGUGUAGGAUACCCAGCUGACUGGCUCACUGGUGGGAUUUCUGCGAAGGGGGAACAUUUGCCUGCAGGUACAGAGGGGGGCAAAUGGAGGGGAAAACAGUUGAUUCACAGCAAUCACUGCAGAGCAGCAAACAUUUGCAUUAAUUUUGCUCAUCCCAAGAGUACAUUCAUUAUACCUUUCCAUAUACCAAAUCCGUAAGUGUGUAUGUGCUGAGCCAGUGGACUGCCAUAGAAAGCUGCAAAUAAUGAAUGAUGUAUUACCUCUCUUAUAAUGGAUUGGUUAUUCCAGCUAUACUUGCCUUGAUGCGAUGAAAUAAAUGACAGCAAUUUUGCUAAUACAUGGAUUUUCUGCUCUCCCCCUCCUUUUCAACAGGGCAGAAGGGUGUCCUUUAGCAUUUAAAGCCAUGCAGGAACACAAUACUUAUGAUGGAAAGUGUCUAUAAUGUAAGUAUGCCAUAACCGUAAGUAGCAUCUGGUUAGAAAAGAAGCUGAUGUGAGGUAUGAAGAAGAUAUUUUACACAUGAUAGAAGUAAUAAAUCUGCAGUUUGCUGGAGGAUUUAGAUCCAACUGGAGAUAAAUUCAUUGUGGAUAUUUUUAAAGUAUGGUAUAGCUCCAUUAAGAAAGGACUCAGAGUUGGAAGUGCUCCUGGUUCAGCUGGUGAUAUCACAGCUGUGUCACAGAUGGAUCACAGCAAUCAGUUUGCUGGUUCAGAUGGAAAGUGCAUUGCAUGAGCAGUGUUGCUACAUCCUCCAUUAAAAUGCAGCCCCUGAUUCAAUGGCAAAGAAUGACAGAACCAUGGCUGACUGCAGAACAGUCCCUCAGUGCCAGUGGGAAAUGCAGACGAAAGAUACUAUGGUGACAUCUCCAUAAUAAGAUUAUUGCAGGAAGGAAACUGCCAUGCAGAAGGAAGACAAGGACCAUGCCAUGACUGGGAAUGCUGGCAAAUGUUUAGGAUGACUCUGAGUGCAAUAAGAUUCAGAUUUCUUUAAGCUGCAGAGACUCAGAAUCUGAUCCUGAGGCUACCAGCAUCUGUGGAAAGUUCUCCAGCAAUCCAAAGCCUUAGCUUAGGUCUCUUUUUAUACAAACACCUGUGCCCUGUUCUGUCUCUGCAGAACAGCAGUGGCUCAGACUGCCCUAAUCCUUGUCAAAGGGACUUAACUUGCCCAGAAGUCAGCAGCCCCACGUUACAAGGGUUCAGUAAAGCUGGAUGCUGAGCCAGAUGCUAACUGCUGCCUGCAGCCAGCUGCACUUCCUCCAGCUGCUGCAGCUCUCAUCUUCUCUCAGAGCAGCAGCACCAGCCCUGGUGAGAUGACAGCUCCUCCUCCUGCUUUCACUUGGUUACUCAUUUUCCAGCUCUCCCAAUGCUUACUGGGGUUCUCAGUCCUCAGAGUGUAUCAGUCCCAGCUGACAGCAUCCCACAGUGAAGGUAAUCAAUCCUGAUGCUUAUCGUAAUCACCAGUAUCACUGUUUUUGGCUACAGAUAUCUUUUCCCCUAUGAAUGCUGACUUGCCUCUUUCCCUUCUGCCACUUUGCUGAAGUCACACGUGCCCUCAGAGGAAAACGUGGCAGCAUCAUGAACAGGAGCGGAGAGCUCUGCCAUAAGGAGAGGCUGGGAUGCAACGUGAUUAUCAUGUUAACCGCCUCACUGCCCUUUGGAUGCUUGGCUCACAUCCAGCAAAGUGCUCAAGGCAAGCACUGCUAGGUAUCACAUUCAACUAAAAUGUCAAGAGGAGCCCUGGAGGCUGUGGGGACCCCCGUGGGCUGUGGGGCUGGUCAGCAAAGUGCUGCAGAAAGUACCGGGAGAGCUGAGAACUGCCUGAGAGGAGCACUGUGCCAGCCAGGUCCACACUCGCUCAGUGACACAUGCAGCACACUGCAUGGGGAUAACAUCAUGUGAUCUAAAAGA